AAGGCGUAGUACGGCACAAUGACAAUCUUAGCUAUCUUAUUCUAGUUUUGAAAUGAAGUUCGGAUGACGUAUGAUCUGCAACCAUGAACUAAUACAUAUUCAUCAUGUCUUCAUCGGAUUGUGGGUCUUGCUUGACAACAAUACCGAAUAUUGCUUUAUAUCGAUGUCAAACUUGCACACCUAAUUAUGGAGAAACGUCAAGUGAAAACUUGUUCUGCGAAGACUGCUUAGUUCCGCAUAUACGAAAAGGGCACUCGAUUGUGGACUCGAAAGGUUUUGAACCAAUUGCGUGCGCGGUUCACAAUUUUAUUGUCUCCGAAUACUGCAAAACAUGUGACGUUCUUUUCUGUUGCAAAUGCCUGGCAUCACACAGAAAACAUGAAUGUGAAUCACUCGAAGAGAAAGCUUUGGAAGUAAAAACAAAAGUUUUCAGCCUGUUAACUGAUUUAGAAAACAAAGAGAAACCUGUUCAACUAAGAAAGACAACAUUUUCAAAAAUUGUCAAUCAAAACAAAACUGAUGCUGAAAAAAUUUCCCUCGCCAUAGAAAGCGAAUGUAACAAACUGCAAGAAAAUCUGCUGCGCGACGUUUUAGGAAAAUCAAAAUCCAAUGAGAAAUUCGAACAGAAUCUUGAAAACGUAUGCAAUGAACUAAUUGAUGUUCAAAAAAGUGUUCGGGAGUUGCUGAGCGAGUCAGACCAAAGACUGAUUAACAAUUACUCCAGUGUUUUUAUGAAAGUUGAAAAGUUCCAACCAAUGUUUGAAAGUUGCACUGACCAACAAGAACUAGUCGUUUCGUUUUGCUCCGAAGAGUUAGUCAGGAAAACUUUUGAAAACUUUACCCUUUAUCUUCAAAAAAUGUUGACUUUUGUUGGCAAAUGUAAUAUAUUCAAUAUCGUGGGACAGCAAAGAAGCCAGAUCUUCAGAAUUGCAGACAAUUUUUGCGGGAAUAUUGAAGUUAUCAAAGUGAAUCUUGUCAAAGAUGAUCAGAAAUUUGAACUUGUUUCUCGUUUCCAAACAACAGUCGGUAAAAACGUUACGAUAACCCACGUCUACCCAUUGAAUAACUUCCUAAGUGAUUUUACAAGUGACUUCAUAUUUUUGCUAAGUGACAGAACUGCCAUGACCCACAAAAAUGGGAAGUUUUCACCUGCAAAUUACCCUGAAUGUGAUAACUGUCUUUGGCCCUUUAAAUUCGGAAACUCUUUGUAUUGGUCUUACUGGGAUCCAAUAAACCAUAUGGUAAAAUUAACGAACAGUAAAAGCUGUAAAUUUAAUUCGAAGUCAUGUCCAAAAAUAAAAAUGACUGGUAGUUAUUAUACAGAUCAGUUGUUUUUUAUUGAUGAAAACGAGAACAAAAUUAUCAAGUUUUCAGUUAUAACUGGUUCAGUAACUGAAAUAACUUCAGACACUCAUCAACUAGACUCGGUUGAUUGCAUAUCACCUAUCUCCUACAACUUAAUCUGUGUUUGGUCGGUUCCUGCUAAAUUGGCGCAUCUGUUAAGAAAAGACGAACUCAAUAGCUCAUAUACUUUAGUGAAACAGAUUUCAUGGAAAAACCAGCCCGAGAGUAUUAGUUUUUCUUACUCGGUGUUCGACUUCACGUUCUUACCGACAAUAACUUGGGAUAAAAAUUCGACGACGUUCAGUCAUAUCUUUGCAAUUUGGGCAGAAGUUAAGAAAGAAAAAGCUAUUGUUUCACCUCCAACUUCUAUCAAGUGUGACAAAUGUGGAAAAACUUUCAAACGCCAACUUGGCCUGUCUGAUCAUAGAAGAAUGAAACAUGGAAUACAUUGAUUUAUGGAUAUACGACUGAAAUUAAAUAGUUCGUCUUUGGUAAACAGCUCACAUUUAUUGUUCCGACUUUCGAUACGAAAGUAACGGAAUAUUUAUGCU